rnacentral:rRNA from 1 species
GUGAACGCUGGCGGUAGGCCUAACACAUGCCAGUCGAACGGCAGCACAGUAAGAGCUUGCUCUUACGGGUGGCGAGUGGCGGACGGGUGAGGAAUACAUCGGAAUCUACUUUUUCGUGGGGGAUAACGUAGGGAAACUUACGCUAAUACCGCAUACGACCUACGGGUGAAAGCAGGGGAUCUUCGGACCUUGCGCGAUUGAAUGAGCCGAUGUCGGAUUAGCUAGUUGGCGGGGUAAAGGCCCACCAAGGCGACGAUCCGUAGCUGGUCAGAGAGGAUGAUCAGCCACACUGGAACUGAGACACGGUCCAGACUCCUACGGGAGGCAGCAGUGGGGAAUAUUGGACAAUGGGCGCAAGCCUGAUCCAGCCAUACCGCGUGGGUGAAGAAGGCCUUCGGGUUGUAAAGCCCUUUUGUUGGGAAAGAAAAGCAGCAGGUUAAUACCCCGCUGUUCUGACGGUACCCAAAGAAUAAGCACCGGCUAACUUCGUG